AAGCCAUGCGUUGAGCAUAGAGCGAACUAUUCUUUCACCUUUUACUAAAGAAUACCGUGUGUGAGGCGCUUUAAAUGGCGUAUGCCUAUUUUUUUUGGAAGGGUGCACCUCUGUGGGUGCC
rnacentral:snRNA from 1 species